UACAGAGGUCCCAAGCGUUGUUCGGAUUCACUGGGCGUAAAGGGUGCGUAGGCGGUCGGGUAAGUCUGAUGUGAAAUCUCACAGCUUAACUGUGAAACUGCAUUGGAUACUAUCCGGCUAGAGGAAUGGAGGGGAGACUGGAAUACUUGGUGUAGCAGUGAAAUGCGUAGAUAUCAAGUGGAACACCAGUGGCGAAGGCGAGUCUCUGGACAUUUCCUGACGCUGAGGUACGAAAGCCAGGGGAGCAAACGGG
rnacentral:rRNA from 1 species